AAGCCCUCCCCCACAAAGGGCGGCCAAGGCCAUAGGACAGUCCUUGCCUGCUGCUUCCGCUUCUAUAGCGAUGGCUGCUCUGGCCCUAAAAGAUUGUCCAGGGUGCUCCUCUUGGGAGUAAUCUGCCAUGUUUGCUUCCUACUGCCACAGCCCAGUGGAGUACUUUCUCAGCCAACACUUGGGAAGCACAGGAGCGAACGAGGGAUCUGUCCUGGAAUGAGAGGGCCACCCUGCUCUAACAUUCUGCUGUUGUGUUCGAAGCAGGCUCAAGUCAUCAUGAGUCUUACAGCUGAUGGCUUGGGAUCAUCUGCCCAGGGGAAACUCCAGUGUCUCUGUGUGCCUUAGACAACAGGGCUCGUGGAGCUUGGUGGGCAGCUGACCUGGAUGAAUGAGGGAGAAGAGCCACAGGAGCCAAGAGAAACGGCGGUUUACCUGCGUCUGGAUCCGGUUGAGGCCCCGGAACCAGAGGAUCUGGCCCCU